GACGAACGCUGGCGGCGUGCCUAAUACAUGCAAGUCGAGCGAAUGGAUUAAGAGCUUGCUCUUAUGAAGUUAGCGGCGGACGGGUGAGUAACACGUGGGUAACCUGCCCAUAAGACUGGGAUAACUCCGGGAAACCGGGGCUAAUACCGGAUAACAUUUUGAACCGCUUGGUUCGAAAUUGAAAGGCGGCUUCGGCUGUCACUUAUGGAUGGACCCGCGUCGCAUUAGCUAGUUGGUGAGGUAACGGCUCACCAAGGCAACGAUGCGUAGCCGACCUGAGAGGGUGAUCGGCCACACUGGGACUGAGACACGGCCCAGACUCCUACGGGAGGCAGCAGUAGGGAAUCUUCCGCAAUGGACGAAAGUCUGACGGAGCAACGCCGCGUGAGUGAUGAAGGCUUUCGGGUCGUAAAACUCUGUUGUUAGGGAAGAACAAGUGCUAGUUGAAUAAGCUGGCACCUUGACGGUACCUAACCAGAAAGCCACGGCUAACUACGUGCUAGCAGCCGCCGUAA
rnacentral:rRNA from 1 species